rnacentral:rRNA from 1 species
CCUACGGGAGGCUGCAGUGGGGAAUAUUGCACAAUGGGGGGAACCCUGAUGCAGCGACGCCGCGUGGGUGAAGGAGUAUUUCGGUAUGUAAAGCCCUAUCAGCAGGGAAGAACAAUGACGGUACCUGACUAAGAAGCACCGGCUAAAUACGUGCCAGCAGCCGCGGUAAUACGUAUGGUGCAAGCGUUAUCCGGAUUGAUUGGGUUUACAGGGUGCUUAGGCGGUCCGGAAAGUCAGCGGUAAAAGCCCGGGGCUCAACCCCGGCGAGCCGUUGAAACUGUCGGACUAGAGACGGCGAGAAGUACGCGGAAUGCGCGGUGUAGCGGUGAAAUGCAUAGAUAUCGCGCAGAACUCCGAUUGCGAAGGCAGCGUACCGGCGCCGGACUGACGCUGAGGCACGAAAGCGUGGGUAUCGAACAGGAUUAGAUACCCCUGUAGUC